CUCCCACCCCCUUCGCUCGUCUCUUCAGCUCCAUCUUCCGCCAAUUGUGACCCAAAGAACUCGCCGCCCUGACGGCAAGUCGCUGGCGAGGGGCAGCAGCCAGGGAGCGUCUCAGUUCAGUGAAGGCCUCUUUGGCCCCUAGCUGGCGCCCCGUGCAACUCCGCCAGCGCCCCCAGGAGCUCCGGUAAACUAUUGAGGGCGGCCACUGGCCUGCAAGCUGCAAAUAACCGGCCACCCCUCCCUCUGUGCCUUGGUGGCCCCGUAGUCUGCUGUGACCAUGGAGACUCUCAGCAGCUGCCGUGCUGCCUCCCUCUCUGAGCUGGUGCCCAAUGGUUACCUGGCUCAGGUCUUCCCAGGCUGCUCUGAGGUAGAAGGCCUGGCUGGGAAGGUGGGGCUGAAGGAGUCUGAGCACUGUGAUCAGGGUGAAUUGAAUCCCAGAGAAAAGAGUGGUCAGAACAAGAAGAAAACCAGAAUCAACAAGAUCUGGAAUUUUGUGAGCCGCAGAAAAGGGGCCUCCAGUCAGGGGAAGCGACCCCAGUCCAUGAUUUUACUGGGAGGCAUCUCCCGGCCAUCAGAGUUGAAACUCAAAUUCACAUUAAUGGAUCGAAUGAAGUCAUUCAAGAGGUUGAAGCCUUCAACUAGGGACUCCAAGAGUACUACCCCUAGGAACAGCCAGGCCCAGGAACCUCAGGAGGUGCCAGGUAUCUGCCGGAUGAGGAAGGCAGAGAAGGCCGGGAAGCCCUUCCGCCAUUCCUACGCGAGCCACCUUGAGGGCCUGGAGACCUUCCUUGCAGAUGUACAGAGAUUGGUGCACACCCCCAAGAGGGUGAACCAUAAAGUUCUGGCCUUCGAUGGCUUUGACAUUCAAGUAGAGGAAGACCCCUUGGAGGAAGAGACCCUUGAGCAGCCCGGUACUGGUGAGUGGGCCAGGAGCUACCUGAAAAGCAUGUUCUCUGGGAACUGUGAGGUCUUGCACAAAUCGGCCGGAGACUCCAGAAUCCAGGAGCUGGAGGCCAUCAUUGAGGGCUCCACCUUGGAAGGGAAUGUAGAAGGGGGCUACGAGGAGAGCCCUGGGCGCCUGUGCCGAGACAAGACCACACCUUUCAGUGGUGUUGUCAAGUUCUUCAGCAACAUGGCCGAGGUUGCCCGCAAGUGGCAGGCAUUAUCCCGGGAAGAGCUGCAAAUGGGCUGCCAGCAGGAGGCCUACUUUGUGGGUGGCAGCGAAGGUUUCAUCCUGGAAAGUGCCACCUCCAGGGCCUCAUUCCCCCUCAACCUGUCCUGCCCCCCAGAGGCUGCACUGUGGGGCAGCACCAUUAGGAGGUGCCAGCGCUGCCACCGCAAGACCUCCCAGGCCUCAUGCACCUUUGAAAUGAACAUUGAGGGUGAGGAGACACCCGGCCAGGCUCUCGCAGGUCCAUGCACCACUGCUGUCUUGGCCUCAGCCUUGGCCUCAACCUCAGCAGUCUUCGAGUUCCAGGACAACCAGACACCCCAGAACUGCAGCAGCCACCACUAUCUCCGUGCCUUCACCAGGGGGCACUCCGCCUUCAAGAAGCUCAACGAAGACACUGAGACUGUGGUCAGCUUCCUCAAUGAAGAUGACAAUGCUAGAGAGUCCUCUGAGUUGGGCACCUGUGCCAGGAGGGUCACCACCAAAGCUGUCAUGGAGAAGCUAGAGGAGAAGCCAAGUGAGAUGGAGGAGCAGAAGGCUGGCAGUGGGCCUGAGGGGUCCAGCCAGGCAGGGCAGCCCCAGGAGUCUCAUUUGGGUAUGGGUGCAGUGGAUGCAGAGAGAGACGCUAGCAAGGCAUGCACUGGAGUCCUGGACACUAAGUUUUUCUUUCCCUCAGCUGAACCAUCGCCAAGGAUUCCACCCCUCAAAAUUCUCCUGGAAAAAUGCCAGUCUCUGCCCAUCUCACAGAACAUCCCCAUGGAGCUGGAUCAAGUAGGCUGGAGGAGGCCCAGGAAGCUUUGCACAGGUAUUCCUUUUAUGCCCUGGUUUUUGCAGCAGCACAUGCCAGGCAGGCCUCAUGCAUAGACAGACUUUGUUGACAUUUCCUCUCCUUUCCUCUUACUCCCCCCUAGUUCCCCAGUACUCUUUCUCAUUGGUACCUGAAAAUCCACUGUUAGCAAUGCCUUGAUAGAGAUUUUUCCCUCUCCAUGCUCUUCUUUUAAAAUGCAAAUAUCCUCAUUUUUGAGGCCCUUUAACUCAAAGCACUCAAAUAACCCAUCUUCCCAAACCUCAUUUUUUUCCAAGGCCCUCUGUACGUAAUACUUUCAAGGUCUUAUAAGCUCCAGUUCUUUGUGUCCAUGCCCUUCAUAAUGCUCUUAUAUACACCCUGCUGGCCUCAAAGGGACCAGUCCCAUAGUCCCCACCCCCAAUGGGGUCAUCCUAGCCCUGCCUUUCUUGCAUCUUGCCUAGACUUACUCUCUGUGGGUCCCAGGUCCUUCCUCUCCUUCAUUGACCACUGACCAUAGAAAGCCCCUCAAGGCUCAAGGCAGCUUCAUUUAACCCACUCAAAACCCAGAGGCUUACCUCCACCAACACCUCAGUUACCUCCCAGAGCUUUAGAGUACACCCUUUCAGACUCAGUCCACUGGCCCUGCCUGCCAGACUCUUGUCACUCACAAACAAAGCUCCAUCUUCUGCCACAAUUGGGAGAGUCCAUGCUCUCUUACCUGUGGGCUUUAUACCACACCCUAACAGACCCCAGUCCCAACCCCCUAGUC
rnacentral:lncRNA from 1 species